rnacentral:rRNA from 1 species
GUGGGGAAUAUUGGACAAUGGGCGAAAGCCUGAUCCAGCCAUGCCGCGUGUGUGAAGAAGGUCUUCGGAUUGUAAAGCACUUUAAGUUGGGAGGAAGGGCAGUAAGUUAAUACCUUGCUGUUUUGACGUUACCGACAGAAUAAGCACCGGCUAACUUCGUGCCAGCAGCCGCGGUAAUACGAAGGGUGCAAGCGUUAAUCGGAAUUACUGGGCGUAAAGCGCGCGUAGGUGGUGUUGUAAGUUGGAGGUGAAAUCCCCGGGCUCAACCUGGGAACUGCCUCCAAAACUGCAUGACUAGAGUACGGUAGAGGGUAGUGGAAUUUCCUGUGUAGCGGUGAAAUGCGUAGAUAUAGGAAGGAACACCAGUGGCGAAGGCGACUACCUGGACUGAUACUGACACUGAGGUGCGAAAGCGUGGGGAGCAAACAGGAUUAGAAACCCUUGUAGUCC